rnacentral:rRNA from 1 species
GAUGAACGCUGGCGGCGUGCCUAAUACAUGCAAGUCGAGCGAACAGACGAGGAGCUUGCUCCUCUGACGUUAGCGGCGGACGGGUGAGUAACACGUGGAUAACCUACCUAUAAGACUGGGAUAACUUCGGGAAACCGGAGCUAAUACCGGAUAAUAUAUUGAACCGCAUGGUUCAAUAGUGAAAGACGGUUUUGCUGUCACUUAUAGAUGGAUCCGCGCCGCAUUAGCUAGUUGGUAAGGUAACGGCUUACCAAGGCAACGAUGCGUAGCCGACCUGAGAGGGUGAGCGGCCACAUUGGAACGGAGACACGGACCAGACUACUAAGGGAGGCAGCAGUAGGGAAUCGUCCGCAAUGGGCGAAAGCUUGACGAAGCAACGCCGCGUGAGUGAUGAAGGUCUUCGGAUCGUAAAACUCUGUUAUUAGGGAAAAACAAAUGUGUAAGUAACUAUGCACGUCUUGACGGUACCUAAUCAGAAAGCCACGGCUAACUACGUG